CGGGUGCAAGAAUUCAUGCUGACUACUUUGAAGGCACAUUCUGUGACUCCUCAACAUUUUGUCACCUGAGGAAACAAACCAGACCCUGAUCAGGACCAAAUGGCUGCUUCUCAGAUCCAUCUGGAAAGGCAGCCAUGUCUAACAUCCCUAUUGGGAUGGGGUCAGAGGCUCUAGUAUCUUGAAGAAGGGAAAUGUAGAUUUAUGUUCAAGUGGCUGCAGCAUCAGCUCUUGAUCAGGGAUAGUGCUGCGGAUCCCUCAGGUGGGACAUGUCCAUGGCGGCUUCCUGGUCAACUUCCUUCUUGGUUCUGUGGCCCUGCUCUUGCCUUCCGGGAUGACGGGUAACUUCAUUUCGAUUCUGGGCCGGGCAGAGGCGCUCCUGCUGGAGAAGGAGAGACGACAUUCCUGGCGGUGUACGCGGCGGCCACUGGUUGCUGCAGUUGCCAAAACAGGAGAAGCCCUUUCUGGCCUUUGGAGACUUCGUACCAUGUAGCACUAACGUGGGGCCGCCAUCGUAGAAGUCGGGCACUUGGCCGUCUGUGUGGGAAUGACGGACAGAGCGGGGACAUGGAGGCCCCCGAGGCGACCCAGAGGCCGGCUCGCGGCCUGGCCGCUCAGCGACUCCCAUCAAAGGAAGUUCCCCUUCAUGUCCCGCACCAGCGGCGCCGAGGGCCGGCACUGGAGGCCGCACCGCCCGCCACCGCGCAGGGCGUGGCCCACAGGACCGGGACGCUAGCGGGCGACGGUCGAGGACAUGGCGACAGCCGUUCCUCAGGGGAGCAUUUCUUUACCCGAAAAAGACACUUUGGGAGCUCAGCCCCGCCUAGUCGGCUUCCCGGGCAGGUUCAGGUUUAUUUUGUCGCGGCUACUGCGCAUGCUCAGCCUCUUGGCCUCGCCCCUGCCCUAAAGCUCCCCUCAGGCCACGCCCCUGCUGUUUUUUUUUUUUUUUUUUUUUGCUGCAAACCAAGCGGAAGCCAGACUGAGGACCGGUCCCGCCUCUGCAACGAUUUCCGUCGGCUGUCUCCCGGGCCUGCGCAUGCGUGGCUCCUCACUAGGCCCCUUACUGAACAUGCAGGCCAGUUCCAUCGCAGAUUUUUUUUUUCACCCGCAGGUGGUAGCAGCGCAAGCGCGGCCUCUCCAAAGCCCCGCCCCUCGCGCGAGCCCCGCCCCCGGGACGCCGCUUACCCUCCGCCGCCAUCUUGUAGGAGCUCGGAAGGUAGGAGAGACGUCCCAGGUCACACUGCGGAGCGUGAGUUCGUCUUUCUAGUUUCUUGACCGUCCCCUCCUCUCCGCAAGCCCUAGGGGUCGCCCUGCACCUUGACGUCCCCGCAGGCGCCCCCGUCCUCCGUGUAAAUGUAGGCGGCGUCCUCCUCAGGCCCGGGCACUUCCCUUGGCAUUUAAAAUGGCGCCUAGCCCUAACCGGUGUGGUUUCGGCUCCUCAGGUUUGUUUCCCCGGGUGUCGCCUGACACCGGAAGGGGAGUGUUGGCUCUGCAAAGGUUCCUACCGCUGGUGGGUGUGUGUGUGUCCACGCGAGCACAAGAUUUGAAGAAA